GCUUGCGGCGAGUGCGGGAAGCCUUUCAGCCACCGUUGCAACCUCAACGAGCACCAGAAGCGGCACGGGGGCCGCGCUGCGCCCUGACCCGAGGACGCCCUGAGCGGGAGGUCGCGGACACACGGCAUUGCGGGGUCUCGGGCGUGUCACCUGGGGCCCAGUGACAGAAGCAGCCAUAUUUUAUGAGACGCAGCCCAGCCUGUGGGCAGAGUCCGAAUCACUGCUGAAACCCUUGGCCAAUGUGACGCUGACGUGCCAGGCCCACCUGGAGACUCCAGACUUCCAGCUGUUCAAGAAUGGGGUGGCCCAGGAGCCUGUGCACCUUGACUCACCUGCCAUCAAGCACCAGUUCCUGCUGACGGGUGACACCCAGGGCCGCUACCGCUGCCGCUCGGGCUUGUCCACAGGAUGGACCCAGCUGAGCAAGCUCCUGGAGCUGACAGGGCCAAAGUCCUUGCCUGCUCCCUGGCUCUCGAUGGCGCCAGUGUCCUGGAUCACCCCCGGCCUGAAAACAACAGCAGUGUGCCGAGGUGUGCUGCGGGGUGUGACUUUUCUGCUGAGGCGGGAGGGCGACCAUGAGUUUCUGGAGGUGCCUGAGGCCCAGGAGGAUGUGGAGGCCACCUUUCCAGUCCAUCAGCCUGGCAACUACAGCUGCAGCUACCGGACCGAUGGGGAAGGCGCCCUCUCUGAGCCCAGCGCUACUGUGACCAUUGAGGAGCUCGCUGCACCACCACCGCCUGUGCUGAUGCACCAUGGAGAGUCCUCCCAGGUCCUGCACCCUGGCAACAAGGUGACCCUCACCUGCGUGGCUCCCCUGAGUGGAGUGGACUUCCAGCUACGGCGCGGGGAGAAAGAGCUGCUGGUACCCAGGAGCAGCACCAGCCCAGAUCGCAUCUUCUUUCACCUGAACGCGGUGGCCCUGGGGGAUGGAGGUCACUACACCUGCCGCUACCGGCUGCAUGACAACCAAAACGGCUGGUCCGGGGACAGCGCGCCGGUCGAGCUGAUUCUGAGCGAUGAGACGCUGCCCGCGCCGGAGUUCUCCCCGGAGCCGGAGUCCGGCAGGGCCUUGCGGCUGCGGUGCCUGGCGCCCCUGGAGGGCGCGCGCUUCGCCCUGGUGCGCGAGGACAGGGGCGGGCGCCGCGUGCACCGUUUCCAGAGCCCCGCUGGGACCGAGGCGCUCUUCGAGCUGCACAACAUUUCCGUGGCUGACUCCGCCAACUACAGCUGCGUCUACGUGGACCUGAAGCCGCCUUUCGGGGGCUCCGCGCCCAGCGAGCGCUUGGAGCUGCACGUGGACGGACCCCCUCCCAGGCCUCAGCUCCGGGCGACGUGGAGUGGGGCGGUCCUGGCGGGCCGAGAUGCCGUCCUGCGCUGCGAGGGACCCAUCCCCGACGUCACCUUCGAGCUGCUGCGCGAGGGCGAGACGAAGGCCGUGAAGACGGUCCGCACCCCCGGGGCCGCGGCGAACCUCGAGCUGAUCUUCGUGGGGCCCCAGCACGCCGGCAACUACAGGUGCCGCUACCGCUCCUGGGUGCCCCACACCUUCGAAUCGGAGCUCAGCGACCCUGUGGAGCUCCUGGUGGCAGAAAGCUGAUGCAGCCGCGGGCCCAGGGUGCUGUUGGUGUCCUCAGAAGUGCCGGGGAUUCUGGACUGGCUCCCUCCCCUCCUGUUGCAGCACAAGGCCGGGGUCUCUGGGGGGCUGGAGAAGCCUCCCUCAUUCCUCCCAGGAAUUAAUAAAUGUGAAGAGAGGCUCUGUUUAAAA
ensembl:lncRNA novel transcript